UGACUACAGUGAUGUUGGCUCCAUUGUU
rnacentral:sRNA from 1 species